GUGAAGCUUCAGACUAAACACAGACGCAGCAAAGCCAACUGUCAGUGUGAGAAUCUAAGCAGACUUCAGAAAGUUCACAUGAGGAUCACUCAGCUGUGUUUUGGACACAUGUUUCCUUUAAUGGCAGCACUGCUCCUGCUUUUGUUGAGUGGAGUCAGAUGUGAAGAGCUCACUGCUCUAAAGCCUGAGGUCUGUGCUCCAGAAGGCUCCUCUGUCUCUCUGGGAUACUCUUAUGAGAGAGGAGCUUCUGCUGCUGAUUAUUUCUACUGGUAUCAACAACAUCCAGGAAAAUCUCCAGAAUUCCUGAUUUCACAUUCUGGAAAUGGAAUUUCAAUAAGAGAGAAUGUAAAAGGACUAAAGUUUGAAGUGAAAAGUCAAAGCGUCUCUCUGCUCCUGUCCUCUGCUGCAGUGGGAGACUCUGCUGUGUACUACUGUGCUCUGAGGCCCACAGUGACAGGAAACCCACAGACUCUGAACAAAAACCUCUGAGAGAAAACAGCAGUACUCCACACAUCCACUAGAGGGAGACAUGACAGAGAAAAUGCCAACAUCUCCUGUUUCUUCGGUUGCUCUUGAAGUUUUAUUACAGAAAGC